rnacentral:rRNA from 1 species
AUUGAACGCUGGCGGCAUGCUUUACACAUGCAAGUCGAACGGCAGCGCGGGCUUCGGCCUGGCGGCGAGUGGCGAACGGGUGAGUAAUGCAUCGGAACGUGCCCAGGAGUGGGGGAUAGCCCGGCGAAAGCCGGAUUAAUACCGCAUACGACCUGAGGGUGAAAGCGGGGGACCGAAAGGCCUCGCGCUAUUGGAGCGGCCGAUGUCGGAUUAGCUAGUUGGUGGGGUAAGGGCUUACCAAGGCGACGAUCCGUAGCUGGUCUGAGAGGACGACCAGCCACACUGGGACUGAGACACGGCCCAGACUCCUACGGGAGGCAGCAGUGGGGAAUUUUGGACAAUGGGGGCAACCCUGAUCCAGCCAUGCCGCGUGCGGGAAGAAGGCCUUCGGGUUGCAAACCGCUUUUGUUCGGGAAGAAAUCCUCUGGGCUAAUACCCCGGGGGGAUGACGGUACCGGAAGAAUAAGCACCGGCUAACUACGUG